rnacentral:rRNA from 1 species
CGGCAGACGGGUGAGUAACGCGUGGGAACAUACCUCUUGGUUCGGAACAACACAGGGAAACUUGUGCUAAUACCGGAUAAGCCCUUACGGGGAAAGAUUUAUCGCCGAGAGAUUGGCCCGCGUCUGAUUAGCUAGUUGGUGAGGUGACGGCUCACCAAGGCGACGAUCAGUAGCUGGUCUGAGAGGAUGAUCAGCCACAUUGGGACUGAGACACGGCCCAA